rnacentral:tRNA from 1 species
GCGAGGGUGGCGGAAUCGGCAGACGCGCUGGAUUUAGGUUCCAGUACCGCAAGGUGUGGGGGUUCGACUCCCCCCCCUCGCACCA